rnacentral:misc_RNA from 1 species
CAAACCCGCUCAUACAUAUUAUGGUACUGAUGGAAGUGGACUCUGGUUACUCAUGAUGUAUCCCAAUCACCCCAUUGAAAUAUAUAGGCAGGACAUUAAACCUCUGCAAUGGACUUAGUAACUGUUGUGAAAACAUAGACCAGUCUUUUGCCUGGUUCCAGCCUGGCCUCGAUGGACCUCCAUCCAAGAUAAACUCUG